rnacentral:rRNA from 1 species
UACGUAGGGCCCAAGCGUUGUUCGGAUUUACUGGGCGUAAAGGGCGCGUAGGCGGCACAUUAAGUCCUCUGUGAAAUCUCCGGGCUUAACCCGGAGCGGCCAAGUGAUACUGUUGUGCUAGAGUGCGGAAGGGGCUACUGGAAUUCUCGGUGUAGCGGUGAAAUGCGUAGAUAUCGAGAGGAACACCUGCGGCGAAGGCGGGUAGCUGGGCCGACACUGACGCUGAGGCGCGAAAGCCAGGGGAGCGAACGGG